CAGCAGCCGCCGCGGUAACACGGAGGGCGCGAGCGUUACCCGGAUUUACUGGGCGUAAAGGGCGUGUAGGCGGCCUGGGGCGUCCCAUGUGAAAGGCCACGGCUCAACCGUGGAGGAGCGUGGGAUACGCUCAGGCUAGAGGGUGGGAGAGGGUGGUGGAAUUCCCGGAGUAGCGGUGAAAUGCGCAGAUACCGGGAGGAACGCCGAUGGCGAAGGCAGCCACCUGGUCCACUUCUGACGCUGAGGCGCGAAAGCGUGGGGAGCAAACCGGAUUAGAUACCCCCGUGUCCCUGUCUCUUAUACA
rnacentral:rRNA from 1 species